rnacentral:lncRNA from 1 species
CAGACUUCAGCACUUUCAAGAAGCAGCAGCAGCCCUGGGUGUCUCAGCUGUUCAAGAUCUGGUUACCUCAGCCGUUCCUGUGUGGCACUAGAUUCCCUGUUAACACCUUACCUGCUCACGUGGGCUACUGACGCAUGGCAUUUGGCUAAUGAGUGAAGACAAAGAGAGACCUUCUGGGUUGCAGCCUGGAUUUGUCCCAAGUUUCCUCACUUUUCUCAAACGAGAAUUAACA